rnacentral:rRNA from 1 species
GACGAACGCUGGCGGCGUGCUUAACACAUGCAAGUCGAACGGUGAAGCGCCUUCCUUUUUGGUGGGUGUGGAUGAGUGGCGAACGGGUGAGUAACACGUGAGUAACCUGCCCCCUUCUUCUGGAUAACCGCAUGAAAGUGUGGCUAAUACGGGAUAUUCUGGGUCUGUCGCAUGAUGGGUCUGGGAAAGAUUGCGCCUUUUGGGUGUUUUUGGUGGGGGAUGGGCUCGCGGCCUAUCAGCUUGUUGGUGGGGUGAUGGCCUACCAAGGCGGUGACGGGUAGCCGGCCUGAGAGGGUGGACGGUCACACUGGGACUGAGACACGGCCCAGACUCCUACGGGAGGCAGCAGUGGGGAAUAUUGCACAAUGGGCGCAAGCCUGAUGCAGCGACGCCGCGUGAGGGAUGGAGGCCUUCGGGUUGUGAACCUCUUUCGCCAGUGAAGCAGGCCUGCCCCUUGGUGGGUGGGUUGACGGUAGCUGGAUAAGAAGCGCCGGCUAACUACGUGCCAGCAGCCGCGGUAAUACGUAGGGCGCGAGCGUUGUCCGGAAUUAUUGGGCGUAAAGAGCUCGUAGGCGGCUGGUCGCGUCUGUCGUGAAAUCCUCUGGCUUAACUGGGGGCUUGCGGUGGGUACGGGCCGGCUUGAGUGCGGUAGGGGAGGCUGGAACUCCUGGUGUAGCGGUGGAAUGCGCAGAUAUCAGGAAGAACACCGGUGGCGAAGGCGGGUCUCUGGGCCGUUACUGACGCUGAGGAGCGAAAGCGUGGGGAGCGAACAGG